AACGAACGCUGGCGGCAGGCCUCAAACAUGCAAGUCUAGGGGGUGUAGCAAUACAUCACCGGCGGACGGGUGCGUAACGCGUGGGAAUAUACCUAUCGAUUCGGAACAACUGAGGGAAACUUCAGCUAAUACCGAAUACGUCCUAACGGAGAAAGAUUUAUCGUCGAUAGAUUAGCCCGCGUUCGAUUAGCUAGUUGGUGGGGUAACGGCCCACCAAGGCGACGAUCGAUAGCUGUUCUGAGAGGAAGAUCAGCCACACUGGGACUGAGACACGGCCCAGACUCCUACGGGAGGCAGCAGUUGGGAAUCUUGGACAAUGGGGGAAACCCUGAUCCAGCCAUGCCGCGUGAGUGAUGAAGGCCUUGGGUUGUAAAACUCUUUCGCGCACGACGAUAAUGACGGUAGUGCGAGAAGAAGCUCCGGCUAACUUCGUGCCAGCAGCCGC
rnacentral:rRNA from 1 species